AACGAACGCUGGCGGCAUGCCUAAUACAUGCAAGUCGAACGAGAUCUUCGGAUCUAGUGGCGCACGGGUGCGUAACGCGUGGGAAUCUGCCCUUGGGUUCGGAAUAACGUCGGGAAACUGACGCUAAUACCGGAUGAUGACGUAAGUCCAAAGAUUUAUCGCCCAGGGAUGAGCCCGCGUAGGAUUAGCUAGUUGGUGGGGUAAAGGCCUACCUAGGCGACGAUCCUUAGCUGGUCUGAGAGGAUGAUCAGCCACACUGGGACUGAGACACGGCCCAGACUCCUACGGGAGGCAGCAGUAGGGAAUAUUGGACAAUGGGGGCAACCCUGAUCCAGCAAUGCCGCGUGAGUGAUGAAGGCCUUAGGGUUGUAAAGCUCUUUUACCCGGGAUGAUAAUGACAGUACCGGGAGAAUAAGCCCCGGCUAACUCCGUGCCAGCCGCCGCAGUAAAAC
rnacentral:rRNA from 1 species